UACGAAGGGGGGCUAGCGUUGCUCGGAAUCACUGGGCGUAAAGCGCACGUAGGCGGCUUCUUAAGUCAGGGGUGAAAUCCUGGAGCUCAACUCCAGAACUGCCUUUGAUACUGAGGAGCUUGAGUCCGGGAGAGGUGAGUGGAACUGCGAGUGUAGAGGUGAAAUUCGUAGAUAUUCGCAAGAACACCAGUGGCGAAGGCGGCUCUCUGGUACGGCACUGACGCUGAGACGCGAAAGCGUGGGGAGCGAACAGG
rnacentral:rRNA from 1 species